rnacentral:rRNA from 1 species
CCUACGGGAGGCAGCAGUAGGGAAUCUUCCACAAUGGGCGAAAGCCUGAUGGAGCAACGCCGCGUGAGUGAUGAAGGCCUUCGGGUUGUAAAACUCUGUCAUUCGGGACGAACCGGAGUCUGAGGAAAUGCAGACUCUCUGACGGUACCGGAGGAGGAAGCCCCGGCUAACUACGUGCCAGCAGCCGCGGUAAUACGUAGGGGGCAAGCGUUGUCCGGAUUCACUGGGCGUAAAGCGCGCGCAGGCGGUGAUGUAAGUCUGAGGUGAAAACCCGAAGCUCAACUUCGGGACUGCCUUGGAUACUGCGUCACUUGAGGAUAGGAGAGGCAAGGGGAAUUCCACGUGUAGCGGUGAAAUGCGUAGAGAUGUGGAGGAACACCUGUGGCGAAGGCGCCUUGCUGGCCUAUUUCUGACGCUGAGGCGCGAAAGCGUGGGGAGCAAACAGGAUUAGAUACCCUGGUAGUCCACGCUGUAAACGAUGAGUGCUAGGUGUAGGUGGGCUCAUACCCAUCUGUGCCGAAGCUAACGCAUUAAGCACUCCGCCUGGGGAGUCGGUCGCGAAGCUGAAACUCAAAUGAAAUUGACGGCUUGGAGAGNGCGACGGCGACGACGAGGGAGGAGG